rnacentral:lncRNA from 1 species
GCGCGGGGCGGGGCGGGGGCUCCGGCCGCUGCUGCCGAGCGGCGGGGCGCUGCGGGCGCGGGGCUGGGGUUGGUUGCGCCGCCGCCGUGCGCCCUCCCUCCCUCCCGUUUCCUUCCCUCCCACCAAGCCCUCCGCGCGCGCAGGAGCAGCGGCUGUGACAGCGCCGCCGUGCAGCGCCGGCGCCCCCGCAGCCUCCCCCCGCUCUCGGGGCGCCGGCGGCCGAGCCCCCCCGGCUCCGUACCUGGCGGCUUUGGCCGAGCCCCCCCCACCCCGCGCCCGUCCCCUCCUCCCCGGCGGGCAGGAAGCGCCGUUCCCCGGCGCCGGGGCGCGCUGUCAGCGGGCGGGCGGGCGGCCCCGCGGAGCUCCUCGGCGGUACAUGGAUUACCUGGAAGACAGUUUUGGUUGGCCAGACAGGGAGCUCAGCAGAAGAAGGCUGGGACAGCUGAGGUGAGACUGGCUCAGCAUGGAGUUUGCCCACAGCUGUCACUUCCCUUACUGAUGUAGGAUGCUCAUUUUCCUGGUAUCUCAAGAUGAGGCCUGCUCUAGUGGAGGAACUGAUUCUGAGAAACACUGAAUGGAUAAAGUACUGGUAUUAGGUGAGCAUCUUCUGCUGUGCCUGGUUUGGCUUUGCAUUGUAACAGAGCAGUCUAUAGUGGCUGAUAGAGGUGCUUGUUUUAUUUUUUUUUUUAUCAAUCUAAUCACAGUGUUAGGAAUGGUAUUGUUUUUGUGUUCUUAUUUUAAUAGGCAUAGAUGAGCCAAGUUCAACCUUCAGAAGAAAAACCAUCUUCACUCAUUUAAAGGUGAAUUCCUUUAAAACAUCCUAUGCAAAUGCAGCUGCAUGAGUUACAGGAGCAAUGGUUUUGUGACUACAUAAUCCUGAAGUGUGUCUGCAACCAUCUUCUACUUCAUUCUUGCUGCUCUGUAUCUGGAAGAAUUACAGUGCAUACACACUCUUGUGUUGGCUGGCCUGUGUUCUGUAGACUAUGCUUAAUUUAUGACAUUAUGUCAUGAUGCGUCUUGUGAAAAGUGUGGCUUGUAACUGGUCUUACCAUGUUUGCUUAGAGAACCAGUGGGGAAAUAGUGACAGUGCUUCAGUUUUCAUGCGUAGUGCAGAUCUUAAGCUGAUGAGCAGACUUUCACAAUACAUCUCUUCAGUGGCUUGCUCUGUAUUAGAUAAUGAUCUUAUACUAAACAAUUGCAUGUAUCAGCCUGAUCUGUGAUGAGCCUUUAAGAGCUGCUUUAGAGGAUGAUGUAGCAAUUUGAAUCAGUGUGAACUGAAGUGGGGGGGAAAGUUUUUUAUUUUGCCCUGAGAGUUUGUAAGAUGUGUAAGUUGCUCUGAAAGUAAUGCCUAGUAUUUAUUUCCAUGGGAAUUGUAACUGGUAAGAAGAGCACAAUAACACUGCUUGAGAGAGCAGAUUCUCAGCUACAAGACACUGUUUCUCAACACAGUCACCACUGUUAGCUAUGCAUUUUUGACUAUGAUGAACAGAGGUCUGCAUGCCAU